UACGAACCGUGCGAACGUUGUUCGGAAUCACUGGGCUUAAAGGGCGCGUAGGCGGGCUGUCAAGUCUGGGGUGAAAUGCCGCGGCUCAACCGUGGAACUGCCUCAGAUACUGACGGCCUCGAGGAAGGUAGGGGCAUGCGGAACUGUAGGUGGAGCGGUGAAAUGCGUUGAUAUCUACAGGAACUCCGGUGGCGAAAGCGGCGUGCUGGACCUUUUCUGACGCUGAGGCGCGAAAGCUAGGGGAGCAAACGGG
rnacentral:rRNA from 1 species